GUUCCUACGGGUGGCAGCAGUGGGGAAUAUUGCACAAUGGGGGAAACCCUGAUGCAGCGACGCCGCGUGAGUGAGGAAGUAUUUCGGUAUGUAAAGCUCUAUCAGCAGGGAAGAAAAUGACGGUACCUGACUAAGAAGCCCCGGCUAACUACGUGCCAGCAGCCGCGGUAAUACGGAGGAUGCGAGCGUUAUCCGGAUUUAUUGGGUUUAAAGGGUGCGUAGGCGGGAUGCCAAGUCAGCGGUAAAAAUGCGGUGCUCAACGCCGUCGAGCCGUUGAAACUGGCGUUCUUGAGUGGGCGAG
rnacentral:rRNA from 1 species